rnacentral:rRNA from 1 species
UACGGAGGGUGCGAGCGUUGUUCGGAAUCACUGGGCAUAAAGCGCACGUAGGCGGUUCGCUAAGUCUCAUGUGAAAUCCCCCGGCUCAACCGGGGAAUUGCGCGAGAUACUGGCGAGCUUGAGAUCGGUAGGGGUGAGUGGAACUCCAGGUGGAGCGGUGAAAUGCGUAGAUAUCUGGAGGAACACCGGUGGCGAAAGCGGCUCACUGGACCGACACUGACGCUGAGGUGCGAAAGCUAGGGUAGCAAACGGG